rnacentral:rRNA from 1 species
UACAGAGGUCUCAAGCGUUGUUCGGAUUCAUUGGGCGUAAAGGGUGCGUAGGCGGCGCGGUAAGUCGGGUGUGAAAUCUUGGAGCUUAACUCCGAAACUGCAUUCGAUACUGCGGUGCUUGAGGACUGGAGAGGAGACUGGAAUUCAUGGUGUAGCAGUGAAAUGCGUAGAGAUCAUGAGGAAGACCAGUGGCGAAGGCGGGUCUCUGGACAGUUCCUGACACUGAGAUACGAAGGCCAGGGGAGCAAACGGG